UUCCCUAAGAUUCACCCAUGCAUGUUUCUGACAUUUGAAAAAUGGACUGCUCAGUAAUACUCACUUUAUUUUAUGUAAAUUUUUAAUUAACUACGUUAAAGUGUAGAUAAGAUGUUUACAGUAAGAGUGAGACCUAUCAGCUAGUUGUUAAGGUAAUGGCUUAACAAGGCUGUGACGGGUAACGGUAUUACUUUGUAAUAUUCCGGAGAAGGAGCCUGAGAGACGGCUACUAAGUCUAAGGAUUGCAGCAGGGGCGAAACUUGACCUAUGGAUUUUAUCUGAGGCAGUUAUGGGAAGUAAUAUUAUAUUGUUUCAUAUUUAAAAGUAUAUGAU
rnacentral:rRNA from 1 species